rnacentral:rRNA from 1 species
UACGAAGGGGGCUAGCGUUGCUCGGAAUCACUGGGCGUAAAGCGCACGUAGGCGGAUUGCUAAGUCAGGGGUGAAAUCCUGGAGCUCAACUCCAGAACUGCCUUUGAUACUGGCGAUCUCGAGUCCGGGAGAGGUGAGUGGAACUGCGAGUGUAGAGGUGAAAUUCGUAGAUAUUCGCAAGAACACCAGUGGCGAAGGCGGUUCUCUGGGACGGUACUGACGCUGAGACGCGAAAGCGUGGGGAGCGAAC